CAAUAGCGUAUAUUAAAGUUGUUGCAGUUAAAAGCUCGUAGUUGGAUUUCUGGCAGGAGUGACCGGCCGCACACACUGUGUGCGAGUUGCGUCAUUCUGGCCAUCCUUGGUGAGAUCCUGUUUGGCAUUAAGUUGUCGGGCAGGGGAUAACCAUCGUUUACUGUGAAAAAUUAGAGUGUUUAAAGCAGGCUUAUGCCGUUGAAUAUAUUAGCAUGGAAUAAUAAGAUAGGACUUUGGAACUAUUUUGUUGGUUUGCGUUACAAAGUAAUGAUUAAUAGGGACAGUUGGGGGUAUUCGUAUUUCGUUGUCAGAGGUGAAAUUCUUGGAUUUCCGAAAGACGAACUACUGCGAAAGCAUUUGCCAAGAAUGUUUUCAUUAAUCAAGAACGAAAGUCAGAGGGUCGAAGACGAUCAGAU
rnacentral:rRNA from 1 species